UGCUAUUUGAUUACUAUCCUUAGUUGAGAAAAAAGAAAAAAAGAAGAAGAAGAAUGAUGGGCUGAUUUUAUAAGAUUUGCAUUGUAUUGCAGGAUUUUGCAAUGGCAAUCUAGGAUGCAUGGAUACUUCAUUUAGGGGUGUAGUCAUGUACCAUGUUGUACUUGCUGUUUGAUGUUAUAGUUUCCAUUUAGGGGUGUAGCCAUGUACCAUGUUGUACUUGCCGUUUGAUGUUAUAGUUUUUUAAAAAUUGAUGUGUCAUUGCAUUGUACUCAUGUCUGUAUCAUGGCAAUGCCCUAAGCUUUCUUUCUUUUUGGUAACGUAUUUUAUAUUUUGGUAUUAUCUUAGCAUUUACCAAGAUAUUGUGUUUUUUUGUAAUGUGUAAUGUGCAAUUGGUUUUAGUGCGUUUUUGUUGAGUUUGCAGCAUCUAUGUGUUUGUUAAAAUGUCUGGUGGACUUUAAUUUUGUAUUGGCUUUGCGUUUGCAAAAAUUCUUUUAUGAUCAAUUGAACUAGACACCUAUAGGUUUUGAUCUCUUUCUUUUUCUUCUGUUCAAAUAGGAGGCACAGCAAGUGAUACAGUGAGCUCAAUUCGUGUUAGGGUUUGAAUUCUGUUAGCAGAGAGUACUAGACAGGUUUGGCGAUGGAGAAGCAUCGUUGUAAUAUUGGAUCUUGUAGAUAAUAUGGCAACCCAAACUCUCUUUUGAGCAGAAGCAGAAAUUUUUACUUUAAAACACCUUUUAGUCACUGUAUUCGCAUAUGAGUUUGCAAUUUGGGAGUAUUGAUUAAUUACUGGUCAACUGUAUUGAUAUGUUUCUUAUGGCAUUUUUCUAGAUGAUGCAUUUGUAUUUUAUUUGUAUUUUCUUUUUUUAAAUUUUUAAGGCUUUGAUAUUGGACUUGUAUAAAAAUGUUUGCUUGCUUUGUAGGGUUUGGCGUUGUUGGCACACAAGAAGCUCAUUGUGGAGAAGCUUGCGGGAGAGGAGACUGAACAGAAAGUCAAAGGGGAGGCCAAGAAGGAAAAACACUGGGUGGCAGAAAAGGGGUUGUCCGCAUCAAGGGGCAUGUAAAACCUGCGAAUUAUUUGGAUUCACAUGAGAAGUUUUUGAUUGGGUUAUGUAAAAAGGAUUGAAAUGUUGAGAGCUAAACAGAUCAGGCUCGUACAAGAAGAAGAAAGAAAUGGAAGAGCAACAAAAAAUUGAAAGGGAUAAGAGAGAGCAUAGGACGAACCGUGAAGGCACAAAACUUUUGCUUUCUGAAAAGUGUCAAUACAAGUAUACAACAAGAAAAAUCAGCCUAAAGCUCAAGACAAACAGACCUCUUUCCCACCUUCAUUGAAGCUGCAUCAGAUGAAAUCAUCACCUGAACUAAACAUGCUCACACAUUCACCACAGAACACAGAGAGUUAGCGGUGGUGGAGGUCAUUGCAGUGGUAGCAGCAUGGUUUGAAAGAGGUUUAAGGUGGAGAACUGUAGAAUUAUGUGUUUAACAAAAAAAAGUGUAGACGAUAUGGCUCAAAAGAUUUCAUGAAUCUCAAGAAUAAUAACUAUGCCAACAAAGAGAACAGUGCUAUUUGGGCAAGUAUACUGAGAGCUCGUGAUUUGGUUGUAAAUAGUGGAGUUAAAGGUUCAUUGAAGCUUAUAAUCCCUUUUUUUCUGCUCGCCAACUUGGCUUUGUGCAACUGAUUCCUCUCCCACCUAUUUUCACUGGCAAUGUGCCUUGGCAUGAGAGAGCAACUGUAAAAAUGGAUGAGAUCAAUGUUUUGAACUCCAAAGAUGAAGCUCAAACAGAAUCUUUUAAAUUGAAAUUGUUCUGGAGGUGGUCUGAAUCCUCUAAACCAUUUGAGGAAUGGUGGGACAUUUACUUGUCCUAUUUCAACACCCCUGAAGCACUUCAAGGUUGUUGGAUACCUGGCCCAAGUGUUUAAGGAUCAUUUCAGGAUUUGGCUUCAAUGAAUCUGACAGAAAAAGAUGAAGGAAAAAGAGUGCAAGAAACUGAAGAACAAGGGGAUGAUGAAGACAUAUUUGCCAAGGCUCGUGCUGUACUUGAUAAUCUUGAAACAAGCGUACCUUCAGCAUCAUCAAAUGUGGAUUUCGUCAUGCUGAAUGAGACCUUACUGUGCAUUUGCUCUUAUGUGGUCAAUUCUGUAGAUGAAGUUCUCCUAGAUGAUGUUGCUCAAGGUUGAUUCUAUGAACUUUGUCAAUCCAUACUCCCCUACAUGCAUAAAGAAGAUAGGAUUGAAGGUCCAAUUCUUUCUAUGUUCAUGGACCAAUAUGAGAGCUCUAUCAAAGACCUUUCUCAGAUCAGAAAUAAAAGAAACAUAAUUGAAGCUCUUAAUCAUAUCAUUUCUCACACUCCAAAUCCUAGAGCAGCAUUCAAAAUUCAAGUAGCUGAUGCUUUGCAACAUUUGACCACUACAUCAAAUAAAUUGAUGCAAGCAGAACAAGAACGAUGCGAGGCUCAAGCCAAAGUCAAUAGAUGUGUUCAGAAAAAGAAUGAGGCUAAAGCAUUUGUGGAUGGACUGCUCCAACAAAAUGAAGAAGUGUCAAGACGUUUUGAGUCUCUUUCUAGAUCUGAAGAAGAAACAAAGAACCUGACUAUUGAAGUAGUUUUUACUGAAGAGAAAAUUAGAAAUAACUGGUCACUGAUUCGCAGUAUAUUAGAUAAUUUUCAAUUUGAGGAAUAAACUCUUCUUAGUGUGCAUUUGUCUCUAGCUUAAAA